UUAGGAGCUCACUAACUUCGGAGUCAUGGGAACUCCGAAGUUAAGUGAGUUUGGGCUAGAGCAAUCCCAUGAUAGAUGACCCACUGGGAAGUUGCUUGUGAGUUCCCAAA
rnacentral:rRNA from 1 species